UGUAAAACGGAAGAAAUCCGCUAAAACAAAGUUCUGGCUGAUAAUGUACUGAUUAUAAAUUACAGCUACAAACUCUUCCAGCUGACCGCUGCUGCUGCUGAAGGUUAACAUAAAGUAAGCUUGGCGCCAGGUGGGAAAUUAACCUGAUGAAGAUGAAGGCUGGUGAUGAAGAAGGACGGACACCUGCGCCACAGUCAGAGUGUAUGUCCUGGAUGAAAAAGUAUUGGCACCAAGUCCAUCACCUCCCCCGUCAUGGCUGACAGACACCUACAGAAGCUGAGCUUCAUUGUUUCUCGUGUCGAAGACGCUGCUCCGAACAAUACGAGCAGCUGCCAGAGCGGCUUGAAAUAAAUAUUAACCACAUGGAGACAUAAGCAGCUCCGACAUCAAGGUGGACGUUAGUUUUCACAGGGACAAUCACAGAUGUACUCCCACUGGACAGUUGAUGGAAAUCUCCUGCAGCUACUGUUAAUAACUUAACCUCGUCUUAUAAAGUCUUACUCUCUUAUCUCAUUGGUCUUCAUUUGCCAGUCUCUUUCUUUAACACACCUUAAUAGCAGGGUAGCUUCUCUCACAAAUAUUAUUCUUUCAAAAUCUACAUCAGAAAACUAAUUAUUUUCAGGUUUAGAUUUUGGUCUUG